rnacentral:misc_RNA from 1 species
AAGUCGUAACAAGGUCUCCGUUGGUGAACCAGCGGAGGGAUCAUUACCGAGUUGCAAAACUCCAAACCACUGUGAACAUAACUGUGUUGCCUCGGCAGGCCGCCCCAGGGCGGGGCACCUACAAGGCCUGCCGAAAGCACCUAAAAACUCUUCUGUAACAUGUCUUCUGAAGCACUAUACAAUAAGUUUAAAACUUUCAACAACGGAUCUCUUGGUUCUG